ensembl:lncRNA
GACCUCAGAAGGUGACAUGAUAUUUGUAUGUGGAUUAAAGCAAAGCCCAAGAACUACUGGAAUCUUAAAGAACAAAUAAGCUGGGUUUCUGGAAGCUUGGGAGAGGAAACCAUAAACCAGAUCAGAUCUAACCACCAGCACAUGCUCAAUGGCAGAGUGAUUUUGUUGUCUAACGGUCAGCUUUACACUCACCGAAGGGAGGCUGUCGAACUCAUUUUUUCCAGUAACUACGGCAGGCUCAGGACCUAGGGAUUAAGGACUCUUCCAAGGCCAAAUAUGUGUUUGGGAGCUGAAAAGUUAAGGGAUGGAUCCUCCAAAAGUAAAAGAACCUGUGUGGGACAAAAACCUAAAAAUGACCCUGAAGGCAGUUCUACUGUCUCAAAAAACGAAGGUAAGCUUGGAAAUUUUUCAAAGACACUUUGAGCCUUAAAUAAUGGUUUAUGUUCAUAUGGAAUUCUGAAGAUUUUGUGUGUCUGUUGAAGAGCUUUAGGCCUUUUUACCUCUGUGUUUUGCCCCAUCUAUUUCAAAUUCCUAGGCAAAUACCACCACCAUCACUCCCAUUUCCUCACCUAGUUAUAAAUAUAGAACCCUUUUGAAGCAAGCCCUUACUGUGAAAGCAAAGUGUGGGGUGCUGGAUAUUCUCUGGUUGUGCCUCCAUCCACUACCCCCGCCCCCCCUUCCAUCCUAUGCUGUGCCCCUGGAAGGCUGAUCCCUAGAGGGGUUCUCCCUUGUCCUCUGGCUUCUGAUAGGGCUCAGCCAAUGUGAAGUGCUGGUAGGAGCCCUCCUUGCCUGGCUAUAGUUUGGCCAUGACCUUCCUCUACUUGUGGCCAUGCUCCUGUCAGGGACCUCAUUCCUACAGUGAUUUUUGAGUGGCUUCCGCGUACCAAGAACUAUGGGGAUGUAAAAAAUGUAACAUCCUUCACUUAGAUAUUAGUUGGAAAGACAAGAGAGCUAUGUAACAAUGCAAGGAGCAACAAUGAAAGACUUUCAGGUCAUUCUUCAACAUUCACUGAAGACAUCAGCAUCAGCACCACUUCAGUAAGCCCCACUGGAACCCCGAGGGACUCCAACAUCCAUGUGUAACAACAGUAGAGGAAAAUGAUGGACAGCACAGCUUCUGAACCAGACACACUUCAGAAGAGAUUAGGACACAGACACGCACAGAGGAAAGACCGCGUGAAGACAUGGGAAGAAGAUGGUGAUCUGCAAGCCAAGGAAGGAAGCUUUAGAAGAAACCACGCCUCCUGACACCUUGAUCUUGAAUUUAUAGUCCCCAGGACUGUGAGAAAGUAAAUUUCCCUUGUUUAAGCCACUCAGUUUCUAAUACUUUGUUAUGGAAGCCCAGCAACCUAAUACAGUACUCAAUGAAAUAUUUCUUGAAGAAAUGAACAAUUUUAUCGCCAAAAAGAUAUUGUUGACUAUUUGGUGAUUGACUAUCCCUGAAAUCCUGCAGCUUGUUUUAAGGAAAUGAGAGUGGAGCAGGCUGGAGAAGACAGACCUUCUAACUACAAUAUUCCAGUAUCAAAAGAUUGCCCAUCUUUGGGCCCUCAUUUUGGAUUUGUGUUAGAAGUUAACUGCACUCUCCUAUUAAAAAAACCUAAAGCAUUAGCAGUAAAGUUUCACCUUCAGUAAGUUCUUUGCAUCUUAGACUGAAGAAAUAUUUAUCAUCUGUAUGUGAAUCUGCAUCUCCCCUCCAUCGCUGCUGAUAGAUUGGGGUGUGGCCUGGGGAUGUUUGUAGGACCCCAGAGGAGGAAAACAGUAUUGUUAACCCUACAGAAUCUACACUCAUUGGAG